UACGAAGGGGGCUAGCGUUGCUCGGAAUCACUGGGCGUAAAGCGCACGUAGGCGGAUUCCUAAGUCAGGGGUGAAAUCCUGGAGCUCAACUCCAGAACUGCCUUUGAUACUGGCAACCUAGAGACUGGAAGAGGUUAGUGGAAUUCCCAGUGUAGAGGUGAAAUUCGUAGAUAUUGGGAAGAACACCAGUGGCGAAGGCGGCUAACUGGUCCAGCACUGACGCUGAGGUGCGAAAGCGUGGGGAGCAAACAGG
rnacentral:rRNA from 1 species